UCCAGGAAAAGCCUCUAAGCAUCAGGUAACAUUAAAUCGUACCCCAAACCGACACAGGUGGUCAGGUAGAGAAUACUCAGGCGCUUGAGAGAACUCGGGUGAAGGAACUAGGCAAAAUGGUGCCGUAACUUCGGGAGAAGGCACGCUGGCAUUAGGUAAAGAGACUUGCUCUCGGCGCCGAAGCCAGUCGCAGAUACCAGCUGGCUGCAACUGUUUAAUAAAAACACAGCACUGUGCAAACACGAAAGUGGACGUAUACGGUGUGACGCCUGCCCGGUGCUGGAAGGUUAAUUGAUGGGGUCAGCCGCAAGGCGAAGCUCUUGAUCGAAGCCCCAGUAAACGGCGGCCGUAACUAUAACGGUCCUAAGGUAGCGAAAUUCCUUGUCGGGUAAGUUCCGACCUGCACGAAUGGCGUAAUGAUGGCCAGGCUGUCUCCACCCGAGACUCAGUGAAAUUGAACUCGCUGUGAAGAUGCAGUGUACCCGCGGCAAGACGGAAAGACCCCGUGAACCUUUACUAUAGCUUGACACUGAACAUUGAGCCUUGAUGUGUAGGAUAGGUGGGAGGCAUUGAAGUGUGGACGCCAGUCUGCAUGGAGCCAACCUUGAAAUACCACCCUUUAAUGUUUGAUGUUCUAACUCGGCCCCAUAAUCUGGGGUGAGGACAGUGUCUGGUGGGUAGUUUGACUGGGGCGGUCUCCUCCCAAAGAGUAACGGAGGAGCACGAAGGUUAGCUAAUCACGGUCGGACAUCGUGAGGUUAGUGCAAAGGCAUAAGCUAGCUUGACUGCGAGAGUGACGGCUCGAGCAGGUACGAAAGUAGGUCUUAGUGAUCCGGUGGUUCUGAAUGGAAGGGCCAUCGCUCAACGGAUAAAAGGUACUCCGGGGAUAACAGGCUGAUACCGCCCAAGAGUUCAUAUCGACGGCGGUGUUUGGCACCUCGAUGUCGGCUCAUCACAUCCUGGGGCUGAAGUAGGUCCCAAGGGUAUGGCUGUUCGCCAUUUAAAGUGGUACGCGAGCUGGGUUUAGAACGUCGUGAGACAGUUCGGUCCCUAUCUGCCGUGGGCGUUGGAAGAUUGAGAGGGGCUGCUCCUAGUACGAGAGGACCGGAGUGGACGAAUCACUGGUGUUCGGGUUGUCAUGCCAAUGGCAUUGCCCGGUAGCUAAAUUCGGAAGAGAUAACCGCUGAAAGCAUCUAAGCGGGAAACUUGCCUCGAGAUGA
rnacentral:rRNA from 1 species